GGGGAUAAAGACAGUAUGGUGCCUGUAUGGGGAUAAAGACAGUAUGGUGCCUGUAUGGGGAUAAAGACAGUAUGGUGUCUGUAUGGGGAUAAAGACAGUAUGGUGUCUGUAUGGGGAUAAAGACAGUAUGGUGCCUGUAUGGGGAUAAAGACAGUAUGGUGUCUGUAUGGGGAUAAAGACAGUAUGGUGUCUGUAUGGGGAUAAAGACAGUAUGGUGUCUGUAUGGGGAUAAAGACAGUAUGGUGUCUGUAUGGGGAUAAAGACAGUAUGGUGUCUGUAUGGGGAUAAAGACAGUAUGGUGUCUGUAUGGGGAUAAAGACAGUAUGGUGUCUGUAUGGGGAUAAAGACAGUAUGGUUGCCUGUAUGGGGAUAAAGACAGUAUGGUGUCUGUAUGGGGACACAGAGAUACAGGAUAAAGACAGUAUGGUGUCUGUAUGGGGACACAGAGAUACAGGAUGAAGACAGUAUGGUGUCUGUAUGGGGAUAAAGACAGUAUGGUGCCUGUAUGGGGAUAAAGACAGUAUGGUGCCUGUAUGGGGAUAAAGACAGUAUGGUGCCUGUAUGGGGAUAAAGACAGUAUGGUGCCUGUAUGGGGAUAAAGACAGUAUGGUGCCUGUAUGGGGAUAAAGACAGUAUGGUGCCUGUAUGGGGAUAAAGACAGUAUGGUGUCUGUAUGGGGAUAAAGACAGUAUGGUGUCUGUAUGGGGAUAAAGACAGUAUGGUGCCUGUAUGGGGAUAAAGACAGUAUGGUGCCUGUAUGGGGAUAAAGACAGUAUGGUGUCUGUAUGGGGAUAAAGACAGUAUGGUGUCUGUAUGGGGAUAAAGACAGUAUGGUGUCUGUAUGGGGAUAAAGACAGUAUGGUGUCUGUAUGGGGAUAAAGACAGUAUGGUGUCUGUAUGGGGAUAAAGACAGUAUGGUGUCUGUAUGGGGAUAAAGACAGUAUGGUGUCUGUAUGGGGAUAAAGACAGUAUGGUGCCUGUAUGGGGAUAAAGACAGUAUGGUGCCUGUAUGGGGAUAAAGACAGUAUGGUGCCUGUAUGGGGAUAAAGACAGUAUGGUGCCUGUAUGGGGAUAAAGACAGUAUGGUGCCUGUAUGGGGAUAAAGACAGUAUGGUGCCUGUAUGGGGAUAAAGACAGUAUGGUGCCUGUAUGGGGAUAAAGACAGUAUGGUGCCUGUAUGGGGAUAAAGACAGUAUGGUGCCUGUAUGGGGAUAAAGACAGUAUGGUGUCUGUAUGGGGAUAAAGACAGUAUGGUGUCUGUAUGGGGAUAAAGACAGUAUGGUGUCUGUAUGGGGAUAAAGACAGUAUGGUGUCCUGUAGGGGAUAAAGACAGUAUGGUGCCUGUAUGGGGAUAAAGACAGUAUGGUGCCUGUAUGGGAUAAAGACAGUAUGGUGCCUGUAUGGGGAUAAAGACAGUAUGGUGCCUGUAUGGGGAUAAAGACAGUAUGGUGCUGUAUGGGGAAACAGUAUGGUGCCUGUAUGGGGAUAAAGACAGUAUGGUGCCUGUAUGGGGAUAAAGACAGUAUGGUGUCUGUAUGGGGAUAAAGACAGUAUGGUGCCUGUAUGGGGAUAAGACAGUAUGGUGCCUGUAUGGGAUAAAGACAGUAUGGUGCCUGUAUGGGGAUAAAGACAGUAUGGUGCCUGUAUGGGGAUAAAGACAGUAUGGUGCCUGUAUGGGGAUAAAGACCAGUAUGGUGCCUGUAUGGGGAUAAGACAGUAUGGUGGCCUGUAAUGGGGAUAAAGACAGUAUGGUGCCUGUAUGGGGAUAAAGACAGUAUGGUGCCUGUAUGGGGAUAAAGACAGUAUGGUGCCUGUAUGGGGAUAAAGACAGUAUGGGUGCCUGUAUGGGGAUAAAGACAGUAUGGUGGUCUGUAUGGGGAUAAAGACAGUAUGGUGUCUGUAUGGGAUAAAGACCAGUAUGGUGCCUGUAUGGGGAUAAGACAGUAUGGUGCCUGUAUGGGGAUAAAGACAGUAUGGUGCCUGUUAUGGGGAUA
ensembl:lncRNA